rnacentral:rRNA from 1 species
ACGUAGGAGGCGAGCGUUAUCCGGAUUUACGGGGCGUAAAGCGCGUGCAGGCGGUGCGAUAAGUCGUGCGUGAAAGCUCCCAGGCUUAACCGGGAGAGGACGUGCGAGACUGUCGGACUAGAGGCAGGUAGAGGCAAGUGGAAUUCCCGGUGUAGUGGUGGAAUGCGUAGAUAUCGGGAGGAACACCAGUGGCGAAAGCGGCGCCCUGGCACUGGCCUGACGCUCAUGUGCGAAAGCGUGGGGAGCGAACGG